GCGUGGGGGAAGAAGGCUCUUGGGUUGUAAACUCCUUUUCUCUGGGAAGAACAAAAUGACGGUUACCAGAGGAAUCAGCAUCGGCUAACUCCGUGCCAGCAGCCGCGGUAAGACGGAGGAUGCAAGCGUUAUCCGGAAUGAUUGGGCGUAAAGCGUCCGCAGGUGGCAGUUCAAGUCUGCUGUCAAAGACCGGGGCUUAACCUCGGAAAGGCAGUGGAAACUGAACAGCUAGAGUAUGGUAGGGGCAAAGGGAAUUCCUGGUGUAGCGGUGAAAUGCGUAGAGAUCAGGAAGAACAUCGGUGGCGAAGGCGCUUUGCUGGACCAUAACUGACACUCAGGGACGAAAGCUAGGGGAGCGAAUGGGAUUAGAUAACCCC
rnacentral:rRNA from 1 species